rnacentral:snRNA from 1 species
GUGCUUGCUUUGGCAUCACAUAUACUAAAAUUGGAAUGAUAUGCAGACAAUUCGCAUGGCCCCUGCUCAAAGAUGACAAAAAAAUUUGUUGAAGCCUUCCAUAUUUUU